GAUGAAAAUCUAAAAGUGUUUUACAAUGCAGUUACUCUACUUCUAAAGAAUCUUAAAGGUAUAAGAAGGCUUUAUUUUUCUAUAUGCUUUUGUAACCUUCCUCACAUAUCUAUCUUGUGUGUAUGUGAGAAAAGGUCUUACCCUAA